rnacentral:rRNA from 1 species
GACGAACGCUGGCGGCGCGCCUAACACAUGCAAGUCGAACGGAGCUGAGAGAAGCUUGCUUUUCUUAGCUUAGUGGCGAACGGGUGAGUAACGCGUGAGUAACCUGCCCUGGAGUGGGGGACAACAGUUGGAAACGACUGCUAAUACCGCAUAAGCCCACGAUCCGGCAUCGGAUUGAGGGAAAAGGAUUUAUUCGCUUCAGGAUGGACUCGCGUCCAAUUAGCUAGUUGGUGAGGUAACGGCCCACCAAGGCGACGAUUGGUAGCCGGACUGAGAGGUUGAACGGCCACAUUGGGACUGAGACACGGCCCAGACUCCUACGGGAGGCAGCAGUGGGGAUAUUGCACAAUGGGGGAAACCCUGAUGCAGCGACGCCGCGUGGAGGAAGAAGGUUUUCGGAUUGUAAACUCCUGUCGUUAGGGACGAUAAUGACGGUACCUAACAAGAAAGCACCGGCUAACUACGUG